AGGGGACAGAACCUCCUAAGGAUGAAGAAAACAAGCCUUCUGAAACCCAUGCUGAUAAACAGUUGAUCGAGUACAAAUCCUGUCCCCUCCUGGCUUUCCUGGAUGGAGGUUCCACAUUAAUCUCUGAAACAAACACCCUCAUUCCUGAAUUAAGUGAAUCGCUGUUGCUGCACCCUAAAGAAUCAAGUGAUCUUCUUGACACUGCCUUUGAAGUGGAGGAACCGACUCGGAGCAAGCUGAUUAGGCUGGAGCCCCGGACUGAAGUUGAAGCCACAGAAGCAACCCUGUUCAAUUUAUGUGAACUGAGUCCUGUAGAAACACCGCUUUUGGACAUUUAAAAGAAAAGCAAGCGGUAUGCUUGUAAAUAUUUAUCAAAAUGAUUAACUAUUUAUUUGCUAGUAUCUUCUGGUACUUUUCUCUGCAAAUACAAAGAGUAGUAUUCCUUUUUUUAUUAUUAUUUGAUUUUGCAAAUAAAAUGUACUCUUGAUUCCAGUCCAUUGUUAAUACAUGAGAUCAAACCAAGCCAAUUUACAGAAUUGAGUCCUUUUGUUUUGUUAUGCAGAUUGUUUGUAAUUUUAAAAUGAAAAUCAUUUGUUUUUAAGAUAAACUGCAUAUGUAUUUUUAUGUAACUUGGUAUGUAGUGCAGUGCACUGCUGUUCGUUGCUACAUAUUAUCCCAAAGGAAAAAGGGGGUUGUAAAAAUGUAUCUUUUUUCAUAUACAUUAAACUAAAAGGCUGCAAUUCCGUAAGACAAAAGUAAAAUCUGAUGUAUUUUGAGUAUUGUAUCUUUCAUUCUACAUUAACAUUACAACAUUUAGAAAAUCUCCCCAACCUGUACAUUUGGCUUGGAUUUACCGACCACCAAGUUGAGUGGUAAUGGACUUAAAAGUUUUUUUCUUGUUGCUGGUUGACACAUUAGUAACUUUAAUUAUUUAUAACCCUUUGCUGUAAAAGCUCCAGAAAGAAUGUUUUAAAAUGUUGUUACUGGAUUUUAUAUUGAGAGCCUUGGGCGUUUACGAAAGAAAUGGAAGUGUCUGUAUCUUGUUUGGUUCCUCUCUCUGUAAGUUCUGUGUCGCCAGUUUUUCUUUAAUUUGGUAAUGUAAUGGGCCAGUAAUUAAAUGUUUUGCUUUUGAUGUUGUCUUUCUGUAUAUGUGCACUGGUAUUUGGUGCUACAUGGUCCACAAUAAACUGGUCAUUUUGAAUAUUA